GACGCUAGGCGGCAUGCCUAACACAUGCAAGUUGAACGUGAACAGAUAAGAUGAUCUCUUCGGAGUGAAUCUUUGUUGACGAGUGGCGGACGGGUGAGUAAUGCUUGGGAAUCUGCCCAAUAGUGGGGGAAAACUCGGGGAAACCCGGGCUAAUACCGCAUAAUCUCUACGGAGGAAAGAGGGCCUCUACAUGUAAGCUCUCGCUAAUGGAUGAGCCCAAGUCAGAUUAGCUUGUUGGUAAGGUAAUGGCUUACCAAGGCUACGAUCUGUAGCUGGUCUGAGAGGACGACCAGCCACACUGGGACUGAGACACGGCCCAGACUCCUACGGGAGGCAGCAGUGGGGAAUAUUGCACAAUGGGCGCAAGCCUGAUGCAGCAAUGCCGCGUGUGUGAAGAAGGCUCUAGGGUUGUAAAGCACUUUCAAUAGAGAAGAAAAGCUUGAGGUUAAUACCUUCAAGCCUUGACGUAACCUAUACAAGAAGCACCGGCUAAUUCCGUGCCAGCAGCCGCGGUAAUACGGGAGGUGCGAGCGUUAAUCGGAAUUACUGGGCGUAAAGCGAGCGUAGGCUGUUAAUUAAGUCGAAUGUGAAAUCCCCGGGCUCAACCUGGGAACUGCGUUCGAAACUAUUUAACUAGAGUAUGGGAGAGGAAAGUAGAAUUUCCGGUGUAGCGGUGAAAUGCGUAGAUAUCGGAAGGAAUACCAGUGGCGAAGGCGGCUUUCUGGAACAAUACUGACGCUGAGGUUCGAAAGCGUGGGGAGCAAACAGGAUUAGAUACCCUGGUAGUCCACGCCGUAAACGAUGAGAACUAGAUGUUGGGAGGAUUGGCCUCUCAGUGUCGCAGCUAACGCAAUAAGUUCCCCGCCUGGGGAGUACGACCGCA
rnacentral:rRNA from 1 species